rnacentral:rRNA from 1 species
UACGUAGGGGGCGAGCGUUAUCCGGAAUUACUGGGCGUAAAGCGUGCGCAGGCGGUUGUGUAAGACAGAUGUGAAAUCCCCGGGCUCAACCUGGGAACUGCAUUUGUGACUGCACAGCUGGAGUGCGGCAGAGGGGGAUGGAAUUCCGCGUGUAGCAGUGAAAUGCGUAGAUAUGCGGAGGAACACCGAUGGCGAAGGCAAUCCCCUGGGCCUGCACUGACGCUCAUGCACGAAAGCGUGGGGAGCAAACAGG